rnacentral:rRNA from 1 species
UAGGUAGCGUGCCUAACAUAUGCAAGUCGAACGAGCCAGCACAGANGAGCUUGCUCCUUGGGUGGCAGAGUGGCCGAGACGGGAUGACGGAAUACAUCGGAAUCUACUCUGUCGUGGCGGGAUAACGUANGGAAACUUACGCUAAUACCGCAUACUGACCUACGGGUGAAAGCAGGGAGAUCUUCGGACCUUGCGCGAUUGAAUGAGCCAGAUGCUCGGAUUACGCUAGUUGGCGGGGCUAAAGGCCCACCAAGGCGACNAUCCGCUAGCUGGUCUGAAGAGCGAUGAUCAGCCACACUGGAACUGAGACACGGUCCAGACUCCUACNGGCGAGCAGCAGCUGG